CGCGCCAUCUUUGCAGGCGUAUUGCCAUCUGUGAUGGUCGUAUUCGGAUUUUCCUUCACUCUCUUGAAAGAAGUCUUGUUUUUGUUACUUACCUGACGUCCUGCAUCGACAUAAAUUCAGCCGAAAUGUUGCCGAGACGCGCACCUGUACUUUCACAGACUCCUAUUUUCAACACCACUCUGACAAACAACUUUGCUAACAGAGAAUGUCUGAAGCUCAUGUUUCACUGUAAUUGCCUUCCACGACUGAUGAUAAGCGGUAAAAUGGUCUUAAAAAAACCCUCACAAAGUUAUUCUACAAUUGAUGUUUAAAGCCAGGACUAGAAAAGUCCACGCCAUCCAGCUAGGAAGUACAUACUUACAGAGUGGCCCUCUUUGCUUUUAGACUUAUUAGAGUUAUCUAACGUUACAACGCAAUAAAGGACUGUAUUAUGAACAAGGACUGGCACUGAAUGGACUCCAAGAAGACCUUCAAAUAACACCGUCAGGCAGUGGAAUCAUGUCUGUAGUUGGCUGGGAGGACAGCAGCCCUUUACAGAUGGUUCCAUAUGCAGCCACACCACUCAUGAAAACUGCGACUGUCUGCUUUAAUAGCAGCCCACUCAGAUCCUCGGGGGCGGUCUCCUGUCAUUCAGGCAUUGAACGGACAUUAUUGAGGAAGGUAAUUGGCAGGGAGCCUCAUCUCUGGAGGGUUCCCUUGGCUUCAGCGAUCUUUCAGAGGACUGCGGGACUCUGCCAUUAAUCAGUGUGGGGAUAAGAGAAAGGAGGGAUACGCCAGUGUCGGCACAGACCCUUACCUUUCCUUCCCCGUGACAGAAAAAUCCUUACCUAAUCAAACUGCCCACUCUAAUCUACACUUAGAAUCUUCAAGGAUGUGGCAGCACACAAAAGAAGGAUCACUCUCUCUGCUUAAAUAGCUAUUCCUUCUUAGUGGAUAUAAUAAUAAAGACACAGUAUUGCAAGGUUUAGACUGUCUUCUAUGCCAGAUUUUGAAUUUGUCAGAUUUAUUUUCUCACAAGAAGUUUGUUUUGUGUAUUAAGAAGUUACUGUUGUAACAUUGGAAAAUUUCAUCCCUCUUGGUUUAUGUCCAGUGUCAAUGUUCAGUGGCCUUUAUGUAAUGAGGUGUUGAGUUGGUGGAUGUCUGUGACGAGGAAGCACGAGACCACACUUUCUGUUGAAAGACCUGCAAUUAAAGUUCCCCUUUUUAAUUAAC